rnacentral:lncRNA from 1 species
UCCCGGGCGGGGAGGCGUGGGGCCGGCUGGGGGCGGUGCGAGGCCGGGGCGGGGUGGGGGGAGGGGCGGGUGUCGGUGAGCGCGGCGAGCGGGUUCCUAGUGGCUGCGGGCGGCCUGGGCUGCCGGGGCCGCCGCCUGGGUCGCUGCCGCCGCCGCCGCCGCGCCUGCUGAGAGAUGGCGGUUUUGGGCGCCGAAGGCUGAGGGCGCUCGCCUGUGGAGGAGGCGCCGCCGCCGGGGCCGCCGGGAGCCGACGGCUUCGCGCCGGGUUUCGGAGUUGAGCUUCCUUUGCUUCACCGUGAUUCUAUGAAACCUUCAUCACCAAAGAAGAAAAGUAUUUGUUACGUUUGCAUUUUUGCUCUUCCAGGAUAAAAAUUUUUUCCAGGGCUUUUCAUGUGGCUUUCUUUUCCUGUUUGCUUGGUUUUUAUCUCUCUGCGUAGCUAGUGUGCAAAAGAUGUGAGUUUCUGCUUUAAAAUGUUACUGGUAAUAGUAGUGUAAGGGAUACAGUCCAAAGUUACCUUCCUUCUCUUUGGAUUUUUGUUUUUUGCCUGAAAUACCUGGUGUACAGUUGUAUGUACAUUUCUGCAAGGGCUCAUGCUUAUGUGUAAAUCCACUCUACCUGUCUCAUUAAGUCUGUAUGUAUUAUGUAAGCGAAAUGGACCUUUUAAAGAAGGAAGGCAUUCUUUUAUUUAUAUGACUUGUUUUUAGUCAUAAAGUAGAUAAUUAUCUGUGGCUGAAUUUAUCACUUUUCAUAAAUAGUUAAUAUUUUUUAAAUUGAAAACAGUGUUGGGAGCUCUUCAAAUUGAGAAGUGUAAAGUAUGUGGGAAAACCUUUCUUUCUCAGGUAGCUUAUUAACAUUUUUAAAUGGGUCUUCCCUUAUAAUGCAAAACUUUAUAUGACCUACCACAUAGGGGCUUUGAAAGGCAGUAACAAAAGGUUACAUUUUUGGAAGCUAGAAUGUUGCAUGUAAGGUCUCUGCCUUCAAGAGAUAAUAAUCUGCUUAUCCUGUGAAGGCUGAAAUUUCUUCUACUUCCUUACACGAUUAUUAAGCAUCUACUGCAUGACUGCAGUGUAUUUGGGGGAAUAUGAAGAUGAGGGUGUUAACACUUUCUGCCUUCAAGGACUAGUUAGGCAGGAAGUUCUGUACACAAAUGUCUAAUUUGUCUUUUAAUACAUAACAUUAAAAGAAUCUGAAUCAUAUUGAAUUCAGAUUCAUAGGGGUUAGAGCUCACAUCUUAUUUCAAGGUGAGAAUUAGAGGGGUUAUUUCAUAGAGCUUCUGG